rnacentral:rRNA from 1 species
AUUGAACGCUGGCGGCAGGCCUAACACAUGCAAGUCGAGCGGAUGAAGGGAGCUUGCUCCUGGAUUCAGCGGCGGACGGGUGAGUAAUGCCUAGGAAUCUGCCUGGUAGUGGGGGAUAACGUCCGGAAACGGGCGCUAAUACCGCAUACGUCCUGAGGGAGAAAGUGGGGGAUCUUCGGACCUCACGCUAUCAGAUGAGCCUAGGUCGGAUUAGCUAGUUGGUGGGGUAAAGGCCUACCAAGGCGACGAUCCGUAACUGGUCUGAGAGGAUGAUCCGUCACACUGGAACUGAGACACGGUCCAGACUACUACGGGAGGCAGCAGUGGGGAAUAUUGGACAAUGGGCGAAAGCCUGAUCCAGUCAUGCCGCGUGUGUGAAGAAGGUCUUCGGAUUGUAAAGCACUUUAAGUUGGGAGGAAGGGCAGUAAGUUAAUACCUUGCUGUUUUGACGGUACCAACAGAAUAAGCACCGGCUAACUUCGUG